AACGAACGCUGGCGGCAUGCCUAACACAUGCAAGUCGAACGAGACCUUCGGGUCUAGUGGCGCACGGGUGUGUAACGCGUGGGAACCUGCCCUUAGGUUCGGGAUAACUCUCCGACAGGGGUGCUAAUACCGGAUAAUGUCUUCGGACCAAAGAUUUAUCGCGCUUGGUUGGGCAGGCGUUGAAUUAGCUCGUUGGUAGGGUAAAAGCCUACCAGGGAGACAAUUCAUAGCUGGUCAGAGAGAAUGGUCAGCCACACUGAGACUGAGACGCGGCCCAGACUCCUACGGAAUGCAGCAGUGGGUGAUAGUGGACAGUAGGCGGAGGCCUGAUCCACUAAUGCCGCGUAAGUGAUGAAGGCCUGAGAGAUGAAAAGCGCUUGUACCCGUGAUGAUAAUGACGGUACCGGGAGAAUAAGCUCCGGCUAACUCCGUG
rnacentral:rRNA from 1 species